CACGCCCUAAACGAUGAUCACUCGAUGUGUGCGAUAUACUGUACGCGUCUGAGCGAAAGCAUUAAGUGAUCCACCUGGGGAGUACGACCGCAAGGUUGAAACUCAAAGGAAUUGACGGGGGCCCGCACAAGCGGAGGAGCAUGUGGUUUAAUUCGAUGAUACGCGAGGAACCUUACCAGGGCUUGAAAGUUAGUGAAGGAUGUGGAAACAUGUCCGUCAGCAAUGACACGAAACUAGGUGC
rnacentral:rRNA from 1 species